GGCUAAGGGCGAGAGGACAGGCCGUUCAGAAAGCAGUAUGAUUGGAGGCAUUUUAAAAAUUAUGUCAGAUCUUUCUCUUCCGUGCCAUGGCAAUGUUUCCGGAAGCUUCACUUUUAUUAAAAUGAGGGUGAAGAUGAGGAGGUGCAGGGAGAUAGUGAUAUGCCCUGAGGUACUGGGGGUAAAAACCAAGCAGAAACCAGGAGCAUCAAAGUUCUGGGAAUCAGCUUUACUCCAUCUCUAUCAACACCUGCUCUGGAGAACACAGAUGAAAGAAGAAUAUGGCAAAAAUAUGAAGCUGGCUCUUCUAUGACCAAAUCUUAGGAAACAAUAUUUGAAUUCCUUGUUACUCAAAGAAGGCUCCAACAGUUAGCAGCAUCAGCAAUACCCAAGAGCUUGUGAGAAAUGCAGAAUCUUAGGAUCUUCCCUAGACCUACUAAAUGAGAGCCUGAAUUUUAACAAGAUUCCCUGGUGAUUUAUAUACAUGUUCAUAUAUACACAUUUUUUUAAAGUAC
ensembl:lncRNA